UACGUAGGGGGCAAGCGUUGUCCGGAUUUAUUGGGCGUAAAGAGCGUGUAGGCGGCCAUGUAGGUCCGUUGUGAAAACUCGAGGCUCAACCUCGAGACGCCGAUGGAAACCAUGUGGCUAGAGUCCGGAAGAGGAGAGUGGAAUUCCUGGUGUAGCGGUGAAAUGCGCAGAUAUCAGGAAGAACACCCGUGGCUAAGGCGGCUCUCUAGUAAGGUACUGACGCUGAGACGCGAAAGCGUGGGGAGCGAACAGG
rnacentral:rRNA from 1 species